ACCCACUGAACCAUGUGAGAGCUGGGUCUGUGUGUGUGCCAGGCAUGGUUGGGCUAUAGCACCCAACAGUAAGAGCUGGAAUGUGUGUGGGCUGAUCAGGCAGGGCUGCUCUACCUGCCAGAAUAGGAAGUGGGUUAACUUAGCCUGGACCAAACCCACACAGGUGUGCAUGAGAUCUCUCUGGGGAGAUGACCUGGUAGAAGAGCUUGAGGAACUCCUCUGCCAGGACACAUUCUGCCACAGAUUGCUCUCAACAGUCAUGGCUUCACUCAGAUCCUUGCCUAUGGGCCCCUCCUCUCAGAACAUGGCAGCUUGCUUCAUCUUCAAGGCAAACAAGAAAGCAGUUCUUUGAUGUUUUGCCUUUUGUUAAAGGCAUUGCCUGGCCGUAAGUAGGGAGCUGGAUCAGAAGUGGAGCAGCCAGCAUUGGAACUGGCACUCAUAUAGGAUGCUUGAGCUGCAAGUGGAAGAUUAGCUUGCUAAGCCACCACACCGGUCCAGCACUGAAGACUACUGAAAAAACUUUGAAAGCACUCAAAGACACACAAAGAUCAGAAACCACCAGAUCAGCUAAAAGAAUCAAUUGUGAAUGAAAUAGUAA